rnacentral:rRNA from 1 species
GAUGAACGCUGACAGAAUGCUUAACACAUGCAAGUCUUUGGCGAAGCUGUGCUUGCACAGCCUAGCCAAGGCGGACGGGUGAGUAACGCGUAAGGAACUUGCCCUGCAGUCAGGGAUAACAGACGGAAACGACUGAUAAGACCUGGUAAAGUCAGGCGGACUCAUGUCCAGCCUGAUGAAAAGAGAUGCUGCAGGAGAGCCUUGCGUCCUAUUAGCUUGUUGGUGGGGUAACGGCCCAACAAGGCGAUGAUAGGUAGCCGGCCUGAGAGGGUGGACGGCCACAAGGGGACUGAGAUACGGCCCUUACUCCUACGGGAGGCAGCAGGGGGGAAUAUUGGACAAUGGGGGCAACACUGAUCCAGCAAUUCUGUGUGCACGAUGAAGGUUUUCGGAUUGUAAAGUGCUUUCAGCAGGGAAGAAAAAAAUGACGGUACCUGCAGAAGAAGCGACGGCUAAAUACGUG